rnacentral:rRNA from 1 species
GUGGGGAAUCUUGCGCAAUGGGCGAAAGCCUGACGCAGCCAUGCCGCGUGAAUGAUGAAGGUCUUAGGAUUGUAAAAUUCUUUCACCGGGGACGAUAAUGACGGUACCCGGAGAAGAAGCUCCGGCUAACUUCGUGCCAGCAGCCGCGGUAAUACGAAGGGGGCUAGCGUUGCUCGGAAUUACUGGGCGUAAAGGGCGCGUAGGCGGACAGCUUAGUCAGAGGUGAAAGCCCAGGGCUCAACCUUGGAAUUGCCUUUGAUACUGGCUGUCUUGAGUUUGGGAGAGGUGAGUGGAACUCCGAGUGUAGAGGUGAAAUUCGUAGAUAUUCGGAAGAACACCAGUGGCGAAGGCGACUCACUGGCCCAAUACUGACGCUGAGGCACGAAAGCGUGGGGAGCAAACAGGAUUAGAAACCCUGGUAGUCC